ensembl:lncRNA
AGAACCAGGAACUGCUGUCCUUGCAUGACUCCAUCCCUCCCCCCAUUAUCCUCUAUGCAUAACUUAAGCUGCAUGCAAGCGAAGACCAGGGAAAACUCUCUGAGCUUAUCCUAACAAGGGAACAGCUCCGCCCCUCAUACACAGACAGUUCCAUAAACUGUAUAGCAACCAAGUUCCCUCUCCUAGGCUCCAAGCUGCCCAGCCUCCCACCUGUAGACUCAAAACACCACCAGGUUUGGAGACUCAUGGCAGCCCACUCCAGUCCUCUUGCCUGGAAAAUCCCACGGACGAAGGAGCCUGGCGGGUUACAGUCCCUGGGGUCGCAGAGAGUCGGACAGGACUGAGCGACUUCACUUUCACUUUCCGAGACUCAUGCCAAAACGUCCGCACGGAACCCUUCUCUCAGAACUGCAUCGCGCCUGAUUUCCUGCCGGUGCCAUGUUCCUCUGUGACUUUGAUGGCAUCCCUCCCUUCCUUUCCUCGGGGCACGGAGCGAUCUCCGAGCUCUAUUAGC